rnacentral:rRNA from 1 species
GACGUAGGGGGCGAGCGUUGUCCGGAUUUAUUGGGCGUAAAGAGCUCGUAGGCGGCUCAGAAAGUCGGGUGUGAAACCUCCAGGCUCAACCUGGAGACGCCACCUGAUACUGCUGUGGCUAGAGUCCGGUAGGGGAACACGGAAUUCCCGGUGUAGCGGUAGAAAUGCUUAGAUAUCGGGAGGAACACCAGUGGCGAAGGCGGUGUUCUGGGCCGGAACUGACGCUGAGGAGCGAAAGCCAGGGGAGCAAAGCGGG